CUCGCUCCCGCUCUCACAACUCCCUUGAUCCACGGUGUAGGGAGCGCCGUAGCUCCGCUCCUGCAAGCCCGCCACGCCGUCACUCAUGGCUGCCAGGACACCCGCAGUCAGUCACCGCUUCAUCCCGCGCAGCAUCGUCAGAGACCCACACCACCAUCACCACACUCAUUUCACUCCAAACAUCGGGAAGAAUAUGUAGGAGCCUGAAAACUGUAACGUCCAGGUUCAGGAGCAGCUUUUUCUCAACAACUAUCAGGAAAGGGAGUGGAGCACCAAUAAUCCUGCUGGCGGUCUUCACAAUCCUGUCUAGUUGGUGCCGUUCAUACGCCUUGCAGCUCCCAAACCAAGAAGUGAUGCCGUAGGUUAAUGUGCUCUCGAUUGUCCCCCUAUAAAAAGUUAGUAGGUUUAAAGUGGGGAGACCUGCCUUCCGUAGUCUUCGGAGAGGGUGUAGUCGCUGCUGGACAACCUCCGGAACAAACAUUUUGCAACUGUGCAGGUCCAAACAAACUUGAUGCCUUGCUCCCGUGGUUGUUCAGUGAAUUGGAAGUUUCUUCUGGCACCUAGACAGCCGAACCUGAGGCCUCACUCCACCAAUAUGCUUAAUGAUCUGUGUUGUGAAUGCCCUUUCAAUUGUUUUAAAUUGUGCCUGCAGCUGAACCAUGUGUAAAAACUGUUUUAAAUAGAUUUAAAUAAUUAAAACGUGUUAAAACAUUAAAAUAUUAGUUAAAAUAAAAAUGAAAUUGACUCCUUUCCUUCACACAUCCAGUGUAAAAUUGAAGGACCAGAUACAAAAUGUAUCCAGCUCCUCAUUUCUGGGGAAUAGGGACCACCGCAGAGCUCACUGAGCUGAGAGGUGGGAGCAGGGAUCUGACGUGGGAUCUGAACCCUGGGGAAUUCUCCACUAUCCUGGGUCUCCGUGGAAUGGCCAAUUUGACAAAAUCUGGAUCAUUUUACACCAAAAUCUGCAAUUCAAUCUCUUCAGUAUCUGGUGUGAAUGGAAACAGAACUAAAAUUAAUUCUUGGCCUGACCAACCAAAGAACCACAAGCAGGCUAGGCAUCUUAAAUUCAACUGUAGAGUAAGGUGAGACAAAGGGCAUGAUGCCUGCUGGUCUUAAAUUAGCACAGCGGAAAGACCAGCCCUGUCAUACCAUAGAUAAUUUAGUCAUCUUUUAUCCAAGACAAAUAUAGCCACCGGGCUACACAUUAAAAAAAAUUAAUAGCAUCCAAUAGUGUCCAAA